UACAGAGGUCUCAAGCGUUGUUCGGAUUCAUUGGGCGUAAAGGGUGCGUAGGCGGCGCGGUAAGUCGGGUGUGAAAUCUCGGAGCUUAACUCCGAAACUGCAUUCGAUACUGCCGUGCUUGAGGACUGGAGAGGAGACUGGAAUUUACGGUGUAGCGGUGAAAUGCGUAGAUAUCGUAAGGAAGACCAGUGGCGAAGGCGGUGGUCUGGGCCUGAACUGACGCUGAGGAGCGAAAGCCAGGGAGCAAACGGG
rnacentral:rRNA from 1 species